UACGAAGGGGGCUAGCGUUGCUCGGAAUGACUGGGCGUAAAGGGCUCGUAGGCGGUCUGUCACGUCGGGAGUGAAAACUCAGGGCUUAACCCUGAGCCUGCUUCCGAUACGGGCAGACUAGAGGUAUGCAGGGGAGAACGGAAUUCCUGGUGUAGCGGUGAAAUGCGCAGAUAUCAGGAGGAACACCAAUGGCGAAGGCAGAUCUCUGGGCCGUAACUGACGCUGAGGAGCGAAAGCAUGGGGAGCGAACAGG
rnacentral:rRNA from 1 species